AUCUGUGAUUAUUUGACAAAUGAUAACAACAUUCCUUCCUCCCCUCUGGUUUCAUUUUAGAUAACCCAGAGAAAGAUCACCUGCGGCGUCCUUGAUCAUGCAGCAGUCCUAGGAUAAUCAGAACCGUGGACAGCACCAUGCAGCUCCGGCUCCUCCCCAUGAGAUGCUCUCCAGCUGAUGGAGAGAUGAAGGCUGAAAGCUCGGAAGGUCAACACAAAGCCUGCGAAUUCCCCUGGGAUCACAUAGCUGCUGUCUGUAACUUUGGGGAAGAAAAAACACAUGAUUUUCUAAGGAACUGCAUUGAAUGAUGCUUGUGGUAACACUGGACGAUGCCUCUGACUGCAGGGAACAGGAGUGACUGACCCUAGGGUCUCAGCUGCUGCCUUGGCAAUCCAUCCAGGUGAGUGUCUGUGCCUCCUCCCACAGCUGUUCCCACCUAGGAGUAGGCCUGGCAUUGUUCCUGAGGCAGAUCUAUUUUUGGAGAGGCAGGAUCAUCUGACGGGUGGAGUUAUCUCUAGGACUGCAGGAUGACCUUGCCAUACUUUUCCUUGGGAAUG
rnacentral:lncRNA from 1 species